rnacentral:SRP_RNA from 10 species
GCCAGGCAUGGUGGCUCAGGCAUGUAGUCCCAGCUACUGGGGAGGCUGGAGUGGGAGGAUUGCUUGAGCCCAAGAGUCCUAUGCUGACCAGAUGUCUGCACUAAGCUCCACAUCAAUAUGGUGACAUCCUGGGAAUGAGGGACCACCAGGUUACCUAAGGAAGGAAAACUCCCGUGCUGAUCAGUAGUGGAAUUGCGCCUGUGACUAGCCACCACACUCCAGCCUGGGCAACAUAGUGAGACCCCAUCU